UAGGGAAUAUUAGAAAUGGACGAAAGUCUGAUCUAGCAACACCGCGUGUGCGAAGAAGGCCUUCGGGUUGUAAAGCGCUUUUUGGAAGGAUUAGGAAGGACUGUACUUCCAGAAUAAGUCUCGGCUAACUACGUGCCAGCAGCCGCGGUAACACGUAGGAGGCAAACGUUAUCCGGAUUUACUGGGCGUAAAGCGCGUGUAGGUGGUUCUGUAAGUAGGGCGUGAAAGCUCCUGGCUCAACUGGGAGAGGGCGUU
rnacentral:rRNA from 1 species